GGACCCUCCCCCCCACAAAAAAACUGCAAUAAUACAGAUUAGCAUGGCCCCUAUACAAGGAUCACAUACAAAUUCAUGAAGCAUUCCAUAUAUUU
rnacentral:snRNA from 1 species